UUUGCAUACCUGUCCUGCCUCACUGCUCCACACACUUUAAGACCCCCAGUACUGAUCAGUGACUGUCCAGUCCUUUCACAGACACUGACACAGGCAGCAUUAUGAUGAUGUUAAACUUUCUACUGCUGGUGACGCUGGGACUCCUUAUACAGGAAUCAAUGGCAGAUAUAGUUCUGACUCAGGAUCCAGCAGCUCAGUCUGUUCAGCUGGGAGACACUGUCUCUAUCAGCUGUACAGCCAGUCAGAGCGUUACUGGCUCCUACCACUACCUCAGCUGGUACCAGCAGAAACCUGGUCAGGCUCCUAAACUUCUGAUUUAUCUUGCCACAAGUCGCCAGUCUGGGAUUCCUGAUCGUUUCAGUGGGAGUGGAUCUGGGACUCAGUUUACACUGAAAAUCACUGGAGUCCAGGCUGAAGAUGCAGGAGAUUAUCACUGUCAGCAGUACAACAGCUACCCGCUCACACAGUGAUACAGAGCCGUACAAAAACCUCCCUCAGUCAGACUGCACAGAGACUGCACUGCUGCAGCUGGGACCUACUGCAGGUGCUGAGGGAGGGGGGAGGCACUGAUCCGGGACAAUGUGGGGCUCUGCUCAUAUUCUCAGCUGUUUUGUGCAAUAAUGAUUCACCUAUUCUAAUAUUUAAUACAAUUUCUCUAAAUGUUAAUGUGAGCACAUACAAAACAUUCCUAUUAAGAUUCACCUGAAUUAUAUAAGCACAAAUUUUUAAUUGAAAGAAUAUACUUGAGACACAGGAAUUGUGUCAGGAAUAAAUUUGUUUAAUCUCUUCUGAAACAUGAAAUGGAAUGUGGACCCUAUCACCACUUUGUAAACACAAGGAGAAGAUGCACAGAUUUAACAACAAUAGACUGAAAUUGAGAAUUGCAAUUCAAUGUUGUUCACUGGGUCAGAGCUGGGA